rnacentral:rRNA from 1 species
CACGUAGGGCGCAAGCGUUGUCCGGAAUUAUUGGGCGUAAAGAGCUCGUAGGCGGUCUGUUGCGUCCGCUGUGAAAACUCGGGGCUUAACCCCGAGCCUGCAGUGGAUACGGGCAGACUAGAGGUAGGUAGGGGAGAAUGGAAUUCCCGGUGUAGCGGUGAAAUGCGCAGAUAUCGGGAGGAACACCGGUGGCGAAAGCGGCUCACUGGACCCAAUCUGACACUGAGGUGCGAAAGCUAGGGUAGCAAACGGGG